rnacentral:sRNA from 1 species
CUUCCUCGAUCUGCUGCGGGCAGAUGAAGUGGAUGUGGCUGUCGAUGCCGCCGGCGGUGACGAUCAGGCCUUCGCAGCUGAUGAUCUCGGUGCCCGGGCCGAUGACGAUGUCCACGCCGGGUUGCGUGUCGGGGUUGCCGGCCUUGCCGAUCGCGGCGAUGCGGCCGUCCUUCAGGCCGAUGUCGGCCUUGACGAUGCCCCAGUGGUCGAUGACGAGGGCGUUGGUCAGCACCGUGUCCAUGGCACCCUGGUUACGAGUGCGCUGGCUCUGCGCCAUUCCGUCGCGGAUG